ensembl:lncRNA
AGAGAGAGAGGGAGGGAGGGUGGGUGGUUCAAAGGAGGGGGGAGAAGGGGAGGAGGUAGCAGGGAGGGAGUCCUGAUUGGAUUGGAGCGAGAGCAGUCGAGGGAUGGGGAUACAAUUGAGGUGAGGGGCGGGGGGGGGGGGGGGGGGGGGGGUAGAGAGAGAGAGACAGAGAGGGAGAGAGAGAGAGAGAGAGAGAGAGAGAGAACGAAUGCAGUCUGCAGUCCUGUGCCGUGGAAUUACAGCAGAGGAUAUUUUCCACAGACACCAGUAUUUAAACCACCAUGAGGAACCACGAAACCACAGGAUCUAUCAGAGAACUAUCCAGAAAUCACUGCCAUCACGUCUGGGAGAGAACGCUGUAGAGGACAGGGGAAAGCAGUUCUUUUUUCUCAUUCAUUUUGCCCACUCUCUCAGGAAUGGCUGAGCCUUUAGGGUUUCUACCACGGGGGUCGUCACUGGAACCCUGGAACAUUAGAGUGAGUUUUUGUAAUCCCCUUCGCAUUUUCCAAGUGUUUUCCUGUAGCCAUGUUAUAGUGAAAGAGUGGAGGAGGUUAAUGUGGCUUUCUUGUGGAUGUUGAACUGAAGAGGAGGAAACAGUGUGUCGUGUUCAUGACUGUUUGUGUGUGUGUCUGUAGUGUUGUCCGCUCUCUCUUUGCCGGUGAGAACUCAAAUAGCAGCCCCAUUGGUAUUCCACAAGCACAGCCUCACAAUUCAAACCAAGCCCCGGCUCAGGAUGGAAUCACAGUGCUGGAAUUGUGCUCGUCUGUGGAGUGGAAUGCAUUGAAAUGGAGCCGACGCACCCCAGGCCUGCCCCCAUUUCCCCUGCUGGCUUUUCCCUUUUCCGGGGUGUGCAGUCCCCGCCAUGGGGGACCAGUUCCAUGUGCUAGCGACCAGAGAAACCUGCACAGAUGCCACUCCUCAGUAUGAAAGAAAUGAAAUGUUUUGCCCUACCUACAAACCAGCAGAGACUAGGCUGAUUUUUUGCCCACCUCAAGAUUUAUUAUUAUGGCGGACGUCAACCGUGGAUUUGUGUAAAAUUGCCACGAAAAUCCACUGGACCUUCUGAAACCCUGGAUAUAAAUGUUCAGACUUGCCACAGAAAAAAAUCAAGAAAAUCAUAGAAGGAAACAAAACCAUGAAGUGUUGAAAAGACUUGGCUGGAAAGUUUUCUUCUCACUUCACUUCAUGGGCAGAAGCAAGUAAUUGAAAAAUCCUCCUGAGAACCUGUGUUGUGAAGUGCUUUUUCUCCAGUCUUAUGCUUUCGUCUUUCUUUAAUGGAACAAUAUUUUUCUGCAAACCCAAACAACAAGUAUUUUUUCCAAACCUGAAUCCAUCUUGCUUGUUCAGAAUCAGGUGGAUCCGAGAGCCAAAAAGACUGGUCCCAGCCUGUUCCUAUCCUCCAACAAGCGAUCAAAGACACGUCUGAGGUCGUGGAUGUUGUAGGCAACUAAAACAUCCGUCUUUUGAGUGCAGAGCCAGCGCUUGUAAGGCAUGUGUGUAAAAGGUGGAGGAUCCUCAGGAUCAGCCAGCCUUGUCAUCCCAGUCUGUAAUCAGCUGGAACAGCCAGUUGCGUCCGAACACAGGAGCAUCUGAUUGCCUCCUUUCCUUGUGAUUUUUUUACUCGGGUCACAGUCUGGGAGAUACGGAGAGGGGGAGAAAGUUCAGAAAGAGGGGGAACAGAUGGUGGAAUCAUACAUACUUCAUACCUCAUCCGGCUAUUACUCCCAGGCCCAGAUCUCCUCUCGUAUUGUCAUACCUCGUUGCCUCAGACAGGCAUAAGAAAGGGAAGCAGAAGAAGACUAAGAUGAGUUAAAAACAGAAAAGAGGAAUAGUACAAUUUACGCAGACUGUAAUUGUUACUCUGACAAUUUCUCUUUAUUGAAGAUCCAUUAUUUUUUCCAAAAAUCCUUUUUUUCCUUCUUUCAAU